UGAGCAACCUACCGAAAUGUGGGGGAUAGCCGGCCUAACGGCCGAGUAAUACCGCAUACGCUCUCGAUGAGGCAUUUCAUUGAGAGGAAACCUACGGGACAUUUCGAGGGGCUCGCGGCCUAUCAGCUAGUUGGCGAGGUAACGGCUCACCAAGGCAACGACGGGUAGCUGGUCUGAGAGGAUGGCCAGCCCAACAGUUGGGACUGAGAUACCGGCCCAGACCUCCGUACGGGAGCAG
rnacentral:rRNA from 1 species